AGUUAAUUAGCUUAAAUUAAAGCUUGUAUUUUGAAAAUACAAGAUAUGUAAUUAAUUACAUAUUAACUU
rnacentral:tRNA from 1 species